rnacentral:lncRNA from 1 species
GCUGAACGGGGCGACAGGCAGAAGCAGCAAGUCAGCAAGCAAACAUGUCAAUUUGAUUCUUUUCUACCUUCCCCGGUCGGCCAAUCUUGCAAUGCACAUUCAUUUUUCUGCUAAAAUUAAACAAUUGACUUAUGAAAGUAUUUAUGGUUCUUUAUCUAGCCUAAAUUUCUCAAUGAAGAGGACUACGACACUAAGAUCUUUCUUCCCAUGCUCCU